AGCAGCCGCGGUAAUCCAGCUCCAAUAGCGUAUAUUAAAGUUGUUGCAGUUAAAAAGCUCGUAGUUGAAUUUCGGGGUUAGUAAGUUGGUCAUGCCAUUGGUAUGCACUGGCUUUACUGAUUCCUCCUUCUUGACGAACCGUGAUGUCAUUAAUUUGGUGUUGCGGGAAAUCAGGACUGUUACUUUGAAAAAAUUAGAGUGUUUAAAGCAGGCUAACGCUUGAAUACAUUAGCAUGGAAUAAUGAAAUAGGACGUUAAUCCUAUUUUGUUGGUUUCUAGGAUCGACGUAAUGAUUAAUAGGGAUAGUUGGGGGCAUUAGUAUUCAAUUGUCAGAGGUGAAAUUCUUGGAUUUAUUGAAGACUAACUACUGCGAAAGCAUUUGCCAAGGAUGUUUUCAUUAAUCAAGAACGAAAGUUAGGGGAUCGAAGACGAUCAGAUACCGUCGUAGUCUUAACCAUAAACUAUGCCGACUAGGGAUCGGAUGAUGUUAUUUUUAAUGACUCA
rnacentral:rRNA from 1 species